CGAGUGAAGCGGCAACAGCUCAAAUUUGAAAUCUGGCUUCGGCCCGAGUUGUAAUUUGUAGAGGAUGCUUUUGGUGAGGUGCCUUCUGAGUUCCCUGGAACGGGACGCCAGAGAGGGUGAGAGCCCCGUAUAGUCGGCCACCGAUCCUCUGUAAAGCUCCUUCGACGAGUCGAGUAGUUUGGGAAUGCUGCUCAAAAUGGGAGGUAUAUCUCUUCUAAAGCUAAAUAUAGGCCAGAGACCGAUAGCGCACAAGUAGAGUGAUCGAAAGAUGAAAAGCACUUUGAAAAGAGGGUUAAAUAGCACGUGAAAUUGUUGAAAGGGAAGCGCUUGUGACCAGACUUGUGCCGGGCUGAUCAUCCAGUGUUCUCACUGGUGCACUCGACCCGGCUCAGGCCAGCGUCGGUUUUCGCGGGGGGAUAAAAGCUUCGGGAACGUGGCACCUUCGGGUGUGUUAUAGCCCGUUGCUUAAUACCUCCGUGGGGACCGAGGUUCGCGCUCUGCAAGGACGCUGGCAUAAUGGUCAUCAGCGACCCGUCUUGAAACACGGACCAAGGAGUCGAGGUUUUGCGCGAGUGUUUGGGUGUAAAACCCGCACGCGUAAUGAAAGUGAACGUAGGUGAGAGCUUCGGCGCAUCAUCGACCGAUCCUGAUGUAUUCGGAUGGAUUUGAGUAAGAGCGUAAAGCCUCGGACCCGAAAGAUGGUGAACUAUGCCUGAAUAGGGUGAAGCCAGAGGAAACUCUGGUGGAGGCUCGCAGCGGUUCUGACGUGCAAAUCGAUCGUCAAAUUUGGGCAUGGGGGCGAAAGACUAAUCGAACCAUCUAGUAGCUGGUUACCGCCGAAGUUUCCCUCAGGAUAGCAGUGUUGUUCUUCAGUUUUAUGAGGUAAAGCGAAUGAUUAGGGACUCGGGGGCGCUAUAUAGCCUUCAUCCAUUCUCAAACUUUAAAUAUGUAAGAAGCCCUUGUUACUUAAUUGAACGUGGGCAUUCGAAUGUACCAACACUAGUGGGCCAUUUUUGGUAAGCAGAACUGGCGAUGCGGGAUGAACCGAACGCGGGGUUAAGGUGCCAGAGUGGACGCUCAUCAGACACCACAAAAGGCGUUAGUACAUCUUGACAGCAGGACGGUGGCCAUGGAAGUCGGAAUCCGCUAAGGACUGUGUAACAACUCACCUGCCGAAUGUACUAGCCCUGAAAAUGGAUGGCGCUCAAGCGUCCCACCCAUACCCCGCCGUCAGGGUAGAAACGAUGCCCUGACGAGUAGGC
rnacentral:rRNA from 1 species